rnacentral:rRNA from 1 species
AUGUUUCUUUUCAUUGAUUUUGUGUGGGCGGGGUCCGGGGAUACUGCCACUAGUGAGCAUUUAUCCGACCGUCUCUUAGAUUUAGGGGCAAGGGAGGUGUACCCAAGCAUGGGUCUUCUGGCACAAGUUGUAGCUCAUCGACUCGACCAGUCCAAGUCCAAGUUAGGCGUAUAUGCAUGCUACAAUUGGCAUUGCAUAUACCCCAAUUUUGGUUGCACUAUCGUACGUCUUGUUGUGGCUGCCGCCGUCACUUGCACAAAGGAAAAAAGUUGUAGCACCUCCAUGGCUCCAUCUUACCGUUGGUGCCGACUAUAA